rnacentral:rRNA from 1 species
UACGUAGGGUCCGAGCGUUUGUCCGGAAUUAUUGGGCGUAAAGGGCUCGUAGGCGGUUUGUCGCGUCGGGAGUGAAAACACACAGCUUAACUGUGUGCUUGCUUCCGAUACGGGCAGACUAGAGGUAUGCAGGGGAGAACGGAAUUCCUGGUGUAGCGGUGAAAUGCGCAGAUAUCAGGAGGAACACCGGUGGCGAAGGCGGUUCUCUGGGCAUUACCUGACGCUGAGGAGCGAAAGUGUGGGGAGCGAACAGG